GACGAACGCUGGCGGCGUGCUUAACACAUGCAAGUCGAACGGAGAGGCCCUGCUUUUGUGGGGUGCUCGAGUGGCGAACGGGUGAGUAACACGUGAGUAACCUGCCCUUGACUUUGGGAUAACUUCAGGAAACUGGGGAUAAUACCGGAUAGGAGAUCCUGAUGCAUGGUGGGGGUUGGAAAGUUUCGGCGGUUGGGGAUGGACUCGCGGCUUAUCAGCUUGUUGGUGGGGUAGUGGCUUACCAAGGCUGUGACGGGUAGCCGGCCUGAGAGGGUGACCGGCCACAUUGGGACUGAGAUACGGCCCAGACUCCUACGGGAGGCAGCAGUGGGGAAUAUGGCACAAUGGGCGGAAGCGUGAUGCAGCAACGCCGCGUGCGGGAUGACGUCCUUCGGGUUGUAAACCGCUUUCGCCUGUGACGAAGCGUGAGUGACGGUAAUGGGUAAAGAAGCACCGGCUAACUACGUG
rnacentral:rRNA from 1 species